rnacentral:rRNA from 1 species
GAUGAACGCUGGCGGCGUGCUUAACACAUGCAAGUCGAACGAACCUUCGGGUUAGUGGCGGACGGGUGAGUAACGCGUGAGAAUCUGCCCUCAGGAGGGGGAUAACAGCUGGAAACGGCUGCUAAUACCCCAUAUGCCGCGAGGUGAAAUGAAUUUCGCCUGAGGAUGAGCUCGCGUCUGAUUAGCUAGUUGGUGUGGGUAAUGGCUCACCAAGGCAUCGAUCAGUAGCUGGUCUGAGAGGAUGAUCAGCCACACUGGGACUGAGACACGGCCCAGACUCCUACGGGAGGCAGCAGUGGGGAAUUUUCCGCAAUGGGCGAAAGCCUGACGGAGCAACGCCGCGUGAGGGAUGAAGGCCUCUGGGCUGUAAACCUCUUUUAUCAAGGAAGAAGAUCUGACGGUACUUGAUGAAUAAGCCACGGCUAAUUCCGUGCCAGCAGCCGCGGUAAUACGGGAGUGGCAAGCGUUAUCCGGAAUUAUUGGGCGUAAAGCGUCCGCAGGCGGCCCUUCAAGUCUGCUGUUAAAAAGUGGAGCUUAACUCCAUCAUGGCAGUGGAAACUGAGGGGCUUGAGUGUGGUAGGGGCAGAGGGAAUUCCCGGUGUAGCGGUGAAAUGCGUAGAUAUCGGGAAGAACACCAGUGGCGAAGGCGCUCUGCUGGGCCAUCACUGACGCUCAUGGACGAAAGCCAGGGGAGCGAAAGGGAUUAGAUACCCCUGUAGUCCUGGCCGUAAACGAUGAACACUAGGUGUCGGGGGAAUCGACCCCCUCGGUGUCGUAGCCAACGCGUUAAGUGUUCCGCCUGGGGAGUACGCACGCAAGUGUGAAACUCAAAGGAAUUGACGGGGGCCCGCACAAGCGGUGGAGUAUGUGGUUUAAUUCGAUGCAACGCGAAGAACCUUACCAGGGUUUGACAUCCUGCGAAUCUCUUGGAAACGAGAGAGUGCCUUCGGGAACGCAGUGACAGGUGGUGCAUGGCUGUCGUCAGCUCGUGUCGUGAGAUGUUGGGUUAAGUCCCGCAACGAGCGCAACCCACGUCUUUAGUUGCCAGCAUUUAGUUGGGCACUCUAGAGAGAACGCCGGUGAUAAACCGGAGGAAGGUGUGGAUGACGUCAAGUCAUCAUGCCCCUUACAUCCUGGGCUACACACGUACUACAAUGCUACGGACAAAGGGCAGCAAGUUCGCGAGGACAAGCAAAUCCCAUAAACCGUGGCUCAGUUCAGAUCGUAGGCUGCAACUCGCCUACGUGAAGGAGGAAUCGCUAGUAAUCGCAGGUCAGCAUACUGCGGUGAAUACGUUCCCGGGCCUUGUACACACCGCCCGUCGCACCAUGGAAGUUGGCCACGCCCGAAGCCGUUACUCCAACCCUUGUGGAGGAGGACGUCGAAGGUGGGGCUGAUGACUGGGGUGAAGUCGUAACAAGGUAUCCGUACCGGAAGGUGCGGAUGGAUCACCUCCU